rnacentral:rRNA from 1 species
GAUUUCUGGUGAAGUAACGCUAGCCCGCCCUUGCCAGGGGUGUGCGCUGGUUAGUUAGUUGCCAUCUUUCUAGAAAGCCAGCGUUUGUCAUUCACUUGGCGGACGUGACGCGAUCUAGAUCUUUUACUUUGAAAAAAUUAGAGUGUUUAAAGCAGGCUUACGCUAUGAAUACAUUAGCAUGGAAUAAUAAUUUAGGACUCCCGUUCUAUUUUGUUGGUUUCUAGGAUGGAAGUAAUGAUUGAUAGGGAUAGUUGGGGGUGCUAGUAUUCAGAGGCCAGAGGUGAAAUUCUUGGAUUCUCUGAAGACUAACUUAUGCGAAAGCAUU